UGGAGAGUUUGAUCCUGGCUCAGACGAACGCUGGCGGCGUGCUUAACACAUGCAAGUCGAACGGAAAGGCCCUUUCGGGGGUGCUCGAGUGGCGAACGGGUGAGUAACACGUGGGUGAUCUGCCCUGCACUCUGGGAUAAGCCUGGGAAACUGGGUCUAAUACCGGAUAGGACCAUGGGAUGCAUGUUCUGUGGUGGAAAGCUUUUGCGGUGUGGGAUGGGCCCGCGGCCUAUCAGCUUGUUGGUGGGGUGAUGGCCUACCAAGGCGACGACGGGUAGCCGGCCUGAGAGGGUGUCCGGCCACACUGGGACUGAGAUACGGCCCAGACUCCUACGGGAGGCAGCAGUGGGGAAUAUUGCACAAUGGGCGCAAGCCUGAUGCAGCGACGCCGCGUGGGGGAUGACGGCCUUCGGGUUGUAAACCUCUUUCAGUAUCGGCGAAGCUUGCGGGUUUUCUCGCAGGUGACGGUAGGUACAGAAGAAGCACCGGCCAACUACGUGCCAGCAGCCGCGGUA
rnacentral:rRNA from 1 species